CUUACUGUUGAUUUUCAGCUCUCAUUCGUCCCAUCUGUCUGCCAGAAUCUGACACCUUUGGUUCUUCCAGCCUGGUCGGAGAAUCCUGUGAUAUUACGGGGUGGGGAAGAACGGCUUAUGGAAACCGAAAUGCUGUUGUUACUCAUCUUCAAGAAGCCCGCGUAGAUAUCACAGACAAAAACAACUGUUCAAACGCUUACGAAAGGUUCAGAAACGUUAUAAUAGAUGACGGGGUCGUCUGUGCCAUCUCUCCCAUAGGUCAAGAUACUUGUCAGGGGGAUUCAGGAGGUCCUCUGAUGUUAACCUCGUUGGUAGGUGGUAGCUUCAACUUCUACCUCCUCGGAGUGGUUUCACGUGGAUACAAGUGUGCAGAGCCAGGGUACCCUGCCAUUUAUAGUAAAGUGGUGUUUUUACGUGGACUGGAUCAAAAAGAAUAUGACUUGAUUCAAAUGGACAUUGAUGAGUUAAAGGCUUAGUUCAAUUGAAGCUCGAUACAACUAUUUAUAAUUAUUGUAAUUUAAACUGUAAAAAAAUUAAAAAAUAAACCUUUUAACGUUCUCAAUAAAAAUUAUAUGAUUGGUGUUUUCAUUAGUA